GCUUCUUCUGCGGGUAACGUCAAUUGCUGCGGUUAUUAACCACAACACCUUCCUCCCCGCUGAAAGUACUUUACAACCCGAAGGCCUUCUUCAUACACGCGGCAUGGCUGCAUCAGGCUUGCGCCCAUUGUGCAAUAUUCCCCACUGCUGCCUCCCGUAGGAGUCUGGACCGUGUCUCAGUUCCAGUGUGGCUGGUCAUCCUCUCAGACCAGCUAGGGAUCGUCGCCUUGGUGAGCCGUUACCUCACCAACAAGCUAAUCCCAUCUGGGCACAUCUGAUGGCAAGAGGCCCGAAGGUCCCCCUCUUUGGUCUUGCGACGUUAUGCGGUAUUAGCCACCGUUUCCAGUAGUUAUCCCCCUCCAUCAGGCAGUUUCCCAGACAUUACUCACCCGUCCGCCACUCGUCAGCAAAGCAGCAAGCUGCUUCCUGUUACCGUUCGACUUGCAUGUGUUAGGCCUGCCGCCAGCGUUCAAUCUGAGCCAUGAUCAAACUCUUCAAUUUAAAAGUUUGAUGCUCAAUGAAUUAAACUUCGUAAUGAAUUACGUGUUCACUCUUGAGACUUGGUAUUCAUUUUUCGUCNNNNNNNNNNNNNNNNNNNNGA
rnacentral:rRNA from 1 species